AAGCUCGUAGUUGAAUUUCGUGAUCAAUACGUCGGUCGUGCUUCGGUACGUACUGGCGUCAUCGAUUUCUCCCUUCUGACGAACCAUGAUGUCAUUAACUUGGUGUCAUGGGAAAUCAGGACUGUUACUUUGAAAAAAUUAGAGUGUUUAAAGCAGGCUCACGCUUGAAUACAUUAGCAUGGAAUAAUGAAAUAGGACGUUCGAUCCUAUUUUGUUGGUUUUAGGAUCAACGUAAUGAUUAAUAGGGAAGUUGGG
rnacentral:rRNA from 1 species